ACCUGGUGAUAUGGGCAUUUAUGGAGCAAGUCCCUAAAGUGCUCCCACAUUUCGAAAAAAAGUUCCCCAUCCAUCUGUGACAAACUUGUGAUGGCUAUUCGAAGUU